AACGAACGCUGGCGGCAGGCUUAACACAUGCAAGUCGAGCGCCCCGCAAGGGGAGCGGCAGACGGGUGAGUAACGCGUGGGAAUCUACCCAGCUCUACGGAACAACUCCGGGAAACUGGAGCUAAUACCGUAUACGUCCUUCGGGAGAAAGAUUUAUCGGAGUUGGAUGAGCCCGCGUUGGAUUAGCUAGUUGGUGGGGUAAUGGCCUACCAAGGCGACGAUCCAUAGCUGGUCUGAGAGGAUGAUCAGCCACACUGGGACUGAGACACGGCCCAGACUCCUACGGGAGGCAGCAGUGGGGAAUAUUGGACAAUGGGCGAAAGCCUGAUCCAGCCAUGCCGCGUGAGUGAUGAAGGCCCUAGGGUUGUAAAGCUCUUUCACCGGUGAAGAUAAUGACGGUAACCGGAGAAGAAGCCCCGGCUAACUUCGUGCCAGCCGCCGCUGUAAGAC
rnacentral:rRNA from 1 species